rnacentral:piRNA from 1 species
UGAAAACUGCAGGGAACCCUCGUGACAGCG